AGUGAACGCUGGCGGUAGGCCUAACACAUGCAAGUCGAACGGCAGCACAGAGGAGCUUGCUCCUUGGGUGGCGAGUGGCGGACGGGUGAGGAAUACAUCGGAAUCUACCUUUUCGUGGGGGAUAACGUAGGGAAACUUACGCUAAUACCGCAUACGACCUUCGGGUGAAAGCCGGGGACCUUCGGGCCUGGCGCGGAUAGAUGAGCCGAUGUCGGAUUAGCUAGUUGGCGGGGUAAAAGCCCGCCAAGGCGACGAUCCGUAGCUGGUCUGAAAGGAGGAUCAGCCACACUGGAACUGAGACACGGUCCAGACUCCUACGGGAGGCAGCAGUGGGGAAUAUUGGACAAUGGGCGCAAGCCUGAUCCAGCCAUACCGCGUGGGUGAAGAAGGCCUUCGGGUUGUAAAGCCCUUUUGUUGGGAAAGAAAUCCUGUCGGUUAAUACCCGGUAGGGAUGACGGUACCCAAAGAAUAAGCACCGGCUAACUUCGUGCCAGCAGCCGCAGUAAUAC
rnacentral:rRNA from 1 species